rnacentral:lncRNA from 12 species
AGACACUGGCUUGUUGGGGUGAGGUUAGCAUUGGACAAUUCGAAUACCGUCCUCGUCCCUCCAGGUUUCAAAGCCCAGCUAGAGAUGUAUUUUUAAAAAGCACCAACAUGAAGAAUAUAUAUUACAUUCUCCUCAACCCUGAGCUCUUAGAAUGAAGAGGCAUAAUGGCUUAAUGUUAAUAAAAUAAAGCAGAAUAAACAACUUUAAUAAAAAAUCCUGGCAGAAGAAAAGUGUUGAGGUCUGGCAACAGAAACGCUGGUUUGGAGCAAGCUGUGCUGACUCCUUUUCCACUCUUGUGAAACGUGGUUACUGAUGGUAACAUCUACAUCGAAAGUUGGAUGUGAAGAUUAAAUGGUGUAAUAUUGGUUUGGUGUGAGGACAAAGGACUUCAUAGGCAUUCCUACUGGUCAACUCUGGAUCUUGGGAAAAACCUCCACGCCGAUUUAGGGAUGAUACAAAUUAAAUGUGAUCAAGAAAUGUGUUCAAAAGCCCCAAUUUCCACCCUCCACUCAAAUAAUAGGUGAACACUGGAAAAACAUGACUGAUUCUGUGCAACUUGGAAAAGGAAAAGUCAUCAGCAAGUCCCAUCCUUACCACACACAAAUACAUUACAGAGAGGGCCAAGCUGGAGGUGGUGUUGUUGACAGAAACAUUGUAAGCAGAGAAGGUGAAUCAAUCCAUGGAGUAUCCCUAUCACACUGGAUGAAGAUGGGAAAGAGCUGGGCACGUGAAGGGAGGCCAGAAGCAGCAGAGCUUAUGUUCUACUUCUCAUUCUCCACACUAUUAGAC